rnacentral:rRNA from 1 species
UACGUAGGGUGCGAGCGUUAAUCGGAAUUACUGGGCGUAAAGCGUGCGCAGGCGGUUUUGUAAGCCAGAUGUGAAAUCCCCGGGCUUAACCUGGGAAUGGCAUUUGGGACUGCAAGGCUCGAGUGCGGCAGAGGAGACUGGAAUUCCUGGUGUAGCAGUGAAAUGCGUAGAUAUCAGGAGGAACACCGAUGGCGAAGGCAGGUCUCUGGGCUGACACUGACGCUCAUGCACGAAAGCUAGGGGAGCGAAUGGG